GGGGUCGUGGCCCAGUCCGGCAGGGCGACUGACUCCAGAGAGCCCGCCUCUGACGAACUACCUGAUAUACGGAACGGCCGGGUUGAUCACCGGGCGUGACGACGACGCUCUGGAGUUCCGAGGCGGAUCGGAGAUAUCAGUCGAUCGGGGGUUCAAAUCCCUCCGACCCCA
rnacentral:tRNA from 1 species